GGCAGACCUUCAGGGUAACAGGUCAGAGGAAGAACUACAAUGGCAUCUGCCAGCAUCUGUGUCAGCUGGCCUGUAGUAGAUCACCAUAAUGGCUGAUGCCAAUGUCUCAGUGCCUGAAGACAUCUCACCUCUCACCAAGAUGCACCCAGAGCCUUUCAGGAUCCAUGGAGAUGGAGAAAGAGGACUCCCCAAGGGAAGAAUGAAGGAGGGAAGUGGCCAAGGCCCCUGCCAGGACCUUUGCGUGUGUUAUUUCACUCCAGCCUCACCACCUGUGUCACCCCCGUAUUACAGAGGAAGAAAUGGUCUCAGAGAAGGUAUGAGUGUGGUGGGAGCUCAGCACCAAACCCUAUCACCUUCCUUCUGUCAGGCAGCUGUCAUCACCCCCACAGGCCUUUUCUUCACAGCUUGUUGUCAGGAGGCUGGCCAACAUCUUGGGAAGGUGAGAGAGGAAAUUGGGAGGCUGGGGCUGGAGGGAAUCCUGCCACCAGCGUUCUCUCUUCCCCUAGGUCUGAUGGAAAUAACACUGCUCCGGCACCCGGAGACCUGGCUGUGGCCCAGCCUCAGCUGCACGUCAGCGGCAUGGCCCUGGAGACGACCCUGUGGGAGGCGACUGUCUGCUACGGCGGAAGCCCGGGACACCCCUUCCUCGGGGAGCCUUUCCUUUCUCCUCUGGUGGCGAGGCUGAUGCCUCCUCCCUGACUUGGUGAGGACUGAGUGAAGUGGGAUAUGUGCUGUGCCUUGGAAACCGUCAAAUACUACCUAAAGUCUAGUGUCUUCAGUGAACUUCAGCCCCAUCCUGUGGCCUCCAGUUGUGUGAUACUAUCAGAUGGCCCCUUGCUGCUGGAGUGGAUGUUCUUGGCAAUGAAAAGAAGAAGUGGGGGCAAAGAUGAAGUAUGGGGCCUAGAUGCUUCUAGCAGUUUAGAUGGUGACUUCUCAGGAACUUGUUGUUAACUACUCUGCACCCCCUGCAUUGAUUAGAUUCUGGUUCUCUGGGGCCAGUUUCUUCCUGCUCUCUGGAGCCCCAGCUUCGCACCUGGCUGACUCACCUUUUGCACUGAGUUCAGCACUGGAGAUGGAGAGGGGUUGGGGAGGAGAGGAGAAAUUUUAGUGCUGUAUGAAUUCAGUUGGAAAAAUAAUCAUACAGGAUUUAAGCAAAUCUCAUAUUGCCCCUGGAAUGGUUUUAGGUUUUUUUAUAAAACCCAACCAGCGUCAGCUGAUGCCCCAUCUCUUCAAGGUCAAACAUUCCAAGAUUCUAGAGGGAGCAAAGCUGUGUUCCCAGAUUUGUCUAGAAGCCCUUUCUCCCCCCUCACCUUAACUGACGCCUGGAUGGUCCCCAUGAGGGAUUUCUUUUGCAGCCUCUCCCAAGCCUCCCAUUUGGAGAGUGGGGCUGCCCAGUUCCUUCUCUCCUGGUGUCACUUUGAGAUUACUGCUCAGAGGAACUCAUUCUUUUCUCAAGAGACUGUUUUCUUUUAAAGUUCACAAUGUUCAUUUUUUUCUUUGUGUGCUGCAAGGAGAACUCUGAUUCUGACUGAAAUUCUGCC
rnacentral:lncRNA from 1 species